GAAGAAAGCCUUUGAUAUAUCUUGAUCCAUUGAUAAUUAGUAGAGAAGCAUCAUGUAAAGAUAGAUAACUUUUUAUAGUGUGCUUACUGCGUGCCAGGUGCCCUUGUAGGGACUUUGCAUAAAUUAAAUCCUUUAAUCCUCAAAAUGGUGGUAUGAAGUUAAGCCUUAUCUUUAUCCUUCUUUCAUAAUGAGGACAUCAAGGCAUGGAAGCAUGGAGAUACCCAAAUUACAUAGCAAGUACGUGGUAGUAUUGGAAUGUGAACCCAUGUUGCCUUUAAUCAUAACCACGCUGCCUAUUUUAAUAGGUGCUCUUCUUUGAAAACUUCCUCUGGAUAGACAAAGUAAAGUGAAUAUAUAUAAAGAAUUUUUGUUAAAUAUUAAACAUUUGCUAGGCUGUUAAUUAUCCACAUCAAUUCCCACUGUUAAUAAAGUGUACCAGAUAAUUUUACA
rnacentral:lncRNA from 1 species